UCCUCCUCCACGCUCCCUCGCGCCAUUGCUCGUCGGCUACCGCGACCACCGCCAUCUUGGCCACCAUCCCCUGCACACCGCCGCUCGCCAUCUCACAACUUCCCCGCACACUUCUAAGUGGCAGGGAAAGAGAACGGCAAAAUUAGCGGUUUUCACUAUCCUACAGAUUCGGCAAACGGGAGUGAGUGAGGUGCCUUCCCCACCUGCAAAGCUACCAACAAGGAGGGAAGGAGGAAGACAAAAGCGGCGGUUUCUUCUCUCCUUCUCUUCACACAAACAGCCAAGAGCUAGGAGUAUAGUGGAAAUCAUUCAGAGAUACCUCAAGAAGAAUGUGAUGUACCUUUUACAACUAUGACUCCAGCUUUAACAUACAACGAAUAAGUAGAAAGACAAACCAGAAAGAGUUGUCUGCAGCUUACAACCUUGGUCUUGAGGGCCCAUUGUAUAUUCUGCUACUGAGAGAGACUAGGCUAGUGAGAAUGCAAGACAUGGCCUUUUCUUUAUGUAACCACACCUCCAUUGUGCAAUUUCCUCCCAAUUAAUGCCAGGUAGAAGAGGGAGAGACAUUCCACCCUUUCCACACACAAAUACAACCUGAGAUUCUAAGACGCUUCUAAGAUCACAGAAUAAGAGACCAUAAGAAACAUCCAGUCCAACCCCUCUGACAUGCAGGAAAACACAACCAAAGCAGUCUCAACAGAUGGCCUUCCAGCCUCUAUAAAGACCUUCAGAAAAGGAGACUCCACCACAUUCUGGGGAAGCAUUUUUAAUCAUUGAACAUCUCUUACCACCAGGAAGUUUUUUCCCAAUGUUUAGGUGGAAUAGCUUUUCUUCUCCAAGCUAAACAUACACAGUUAUGUUUGACUUCUCAUUAACCCUGUGUAACAAACUCUAGAAGAACACAGUCACUCCAACCUGAGAAACCUGCCACUUCCACCCCAUUAACCAGGCUGCCACUAUAGGUUAGGAUCAGAUCUAAAAUAGGUGAUCCCCUUCUGGACAAUGAACUUGUCUACAAGACAAGUGAUGAAUUUGUUAGUCCUGAUAUUCUGGCCAGAAUUCAGUCAAACCUCAACAAAAUCUUUUAACAUAUAUGGAGAAACAAAUACCAGAUAUCCAAGUUACAUUUAGGAAAGGAAGAGGGACUAGCAACCAUAUUGCAAACUAUGUUGGAUAAUAAAGAACACCAAAGAAUUUCAGAAGAAAAUCACCCUUUGUGUUGUAUACUACAGCAAAGCCUUUGAUUGUGACAGAUCAUAAAAACUUAGGAUAGCUCUUAAAAAUGGGUGCACCAGACAUUUGAUUGUACUGAUGUCUAACCUGCACUCAGGUCAAGAGACUACCAUCAGGAUAGAAUAAAGAGAAAAUGAAUGGUUUCCAGCUGGCAAAGUGAUCAGGCAAGGCUGCAUUUUAGGAUGCUGUUUAACUUUUACGCUGAACAGAUAAUGUGCAAAGCAGGAUUAGACUCAAGAGGAAAAGGCUGGAAAAUUGAAGGGAAUAACACUGACAGUUUCAUGCAGAUGACACUGUGCUACUAGCACAAAAUAUCAAAGACUUAUAACGAUUACUGUAAAAUGUGAAGGAAAAAAGUGCAGAGGCAAGUUCACAGUCGAACAUGAAGAAAACAAAAAUGACUAGAUUAUAUUAUUUAUAUAACUUUAGAUGAAGAAAACAUUGAAAUAGUUUUUCUACAUCAUGGCUUAGCCAUUAACCAGAAUACAGACUACUGUCAACUAAUCAGAAAACUAGGACUUGGAAAAGCAACUAUAAAGGAACUAUACAAGCUUAAGUGUAAAGAUAUAUACCUGAAUACUAAAGUUAGGAUUGUCAAUCCCAUCAUAUUUUCAAUUUCUAUGUAUGGUUGUGAAAGUAAGAUGACAGUAAGAAAAUCAACUCAUUUGGAGUGUGGUUCUCGAGGAGAGUUGUGAAGGUAUCAUGGGCUACUAAAAAGACAAAUAGUUCUUAAAACAAAUGAAGUCAAGAUGACUAAAAUGACUCAUAAUUUGGACAUAUCAUGACUCACCAAAAGAGACAAUAAGGCUUGACAAGGUCCUGCAGGUACAAUGGCAUGGAAUAUAUUUCACAAUAGUAAUUGAGCAACUUCACAAGUAAAGACAACUUAGGUCAAAAUGCACUUAUUUUAUUCUCAUUGUAGCCUUGCGUUAUGACAAAACAAUUCUAGUGUGACUUUGCUCUAUUUGAAGUGAUGUCAAUUGUUUGGAUUUUUAAGAUGUCUUUCUAAAUGUGAAGAUUCUUUUUUUAAUGUA